rnacentral:piRNA from 1 species
UUUCAGGGUUUGUGGCAAAUUGUACCACAUU